rnacentral:lncRNA from 1 species
CUCUGACAGACGCACAUUCUGAUACACACUGCCAGACACGCUGUCAGACAGAUACACACUGCCAGAUACACUCAUACAGAAACACACAGAUACGCUCCUGAUGGCAGCCCUGGAAAUGCCUAGUAAAGGUGUGAAAGUGAGAAAGUGAUGCCUAUUGGUGAGGUCUAUGGUGAUGAGAGAAUGCAGGGGUAAUGUGUAUUACCCCUUCCCUCUCUUGCCAUCAUUAGGCAUCACCACCCCCCUCUUACAUCACUACUGGUCAUUACCAACUUCUUCUCCCACCACCAUUAAAGGGUCAGUCUAAGCACCAUCACAACUUUGCUUCACUGCAGUGUUAAUGGUGAAUAGAUUACCCUGAACUUUCUCUAAGCACUUUGAGUAACUUGGAACUGCAGAGAUUUGUAAAAAUCACACAGUUAUAAGCCAGCUCCUCAGAGCUGACAAUCG